rnacentral:rRNA from 1 species
GAUGAACGCUGGCGGCGUGCCUAAUACAUGCAAGUCGAGCGAACGGACGAGAAGCUUGCUUCUCUGAUGUUAGCGGCGGACGGGUGAGUAACACGUGGAUAACCUUCCUAUAAGACUGGGAUAACUUCGGGAAACCGGAGCUAAUACCGGAUAAUAUUUUGAACCGCAUGGUUCAAAAGUGAAGGACGGUCUUGCUGUCACUUAUAGAUGGAUCCGCGCUGCAUUAGCUAGUUGGUAAGGUAACGGCUUACCAAGGACACGAUGACUAGCCGACCUGAGAGGGUGAUAGGCCACACUGGAACUGAGACACGGUCCAGACUCCUACGGGAGGCAGCAGUAGGGAAUCUUCCGCAAUGGGCGAAAGCCUGACGGAGCAACGCCGCGUGAGUGAUGAAGGUCUUCGGAUCGUAAAACUCUGUUAUUAGGGAAGAACAUAUGUGUAAGUAACUGUGAACAUCUUGACGGUACCUAAUCAGAAAGCCACGGCUAACUACGUG